UCCUUGGCUAGUGCUGUGAGACAAAGUUUACUUUUGUUAUUAGUUUGGUAUAUCAUAUGGAAGAAUAGCCACCAGUUUGGGUGA